rnacentral:rRNA from 1 species
UACGUAGGGGGCAAGCGUUGUCCGGAAUCAUUGGGCGUAAAGCGCGCGUAGGCGGCCCGGUAAGUCCGCUGUAAAAGUCCAGGGCUCAACCCUGGAAAGCCGGUGGAUACUGUCGGGCUAGAGUCCGGAAGAGGCGAGUGGAAUUCCCAGUGUAGCGGUGAAAUGCGUAGAUAUUGGGAGGAACACCUGCGGCGAAGGCGGCUACCUGGACAGAAACUGACGCUGAGGCGCGAAAGCUAGGGGAGCGAACGGG